GGUGGUUCUCAGGUGAUGAACCACAGAAUGGGGCUCCCUCCUCUCUGGUUCUGGGUGCAUCACUAGAGAACCACA
rfam:Myotis brandtii contig290891, whole genome shotgun sequence.